CUGGUCACUCUGUCGCUGUUCGACACAUUACUGUCACUGCACUGUGAGGAAAAAAUGAUGGAGUUGCUGUUGAAAUUUCUGAUACCCUGCAAGCAUAUACCAAUCAGUCAUCGUCACAAAGUGAAUCGAAUCGAUUCGUACACAAAUUCAGUGGAAUUCUUUUUGGACUUGUCACCGGAAGUGAUGAAACAUGCCGCCCAGAAUGCACUGAUCGAAACGCAACAGCACAAUUCAAUGACAAAAACAAUUGGUGCUAAUUGGAACCAUUAGGGAUACUAUGGCGGUGAAUCGUUGUAUUCGAACUAUCAUGCGUAUUUGUUUGAUGCACGGCACAAGAUAUCAAUUUGCCAAAGAUCGUGCCAGAAGUGGUCCACCACAUACAAGCUCGAAAAUCAUACAACGAACAAACGAACGGAAAAGACUAUGGAGCUGAUACAGAGUUUUUUGAACGAAUUUAGCAAUUAGAACGGUGACAGUGAGAAAAGUAAGCAGAUGGAUAGUUUGCAGUCACUGGGCGAAAGCAGUGGCGAUGAGAGCUUUAAGUAUCGGCCUGAAGAUGACUCGGAUGAACGGGGAAACGUUGAUACUGACAACAACAAUCAAUUAUGGCGAGUCGAUGCGAAAAUUGGAAAGUUGGAAACUGUCGAGCAGGAAACAAGAACCGGAAAUUGAAUUUGAUUUUUCAGAAGACUUAUUUACACAGGUGACAGUAAGUUUAGGUCCAUUCAUUCGGUCAUUUAUUUGCAGCUGUUGAAAAUCCUAAAACAACAAAUCGACGCCGAACUACCAGUGAGCGAAGAAUCACUGAAACUGGUUGACAACAGUCGUUUCGAGCUCAUUGAGAGGGAACAGCGUCUGGUUUAAUGCGCGAAAAAAUGCAAUCGAAGGAUCGAAAAACGGUGUCACCUCGACACCUCCACAAUUGACACCAAGUUCGUCAUACGAUCCGUUCAAACGGCACGACACGAAGCGCAAACGUUUCUCAAGUUCAAUCACAAGUAUAUUCAAACGGCCGCCGAAUAGUUCAGCAAUAACAAUUCAUUAAAAUCAAUGUAACGACUCAAUAUACAAGAAAAACGAACAUACUUUAUCAGCUCAACA